UAAGACCUCUGUUCAUCUUUAGACACAAAUUAAGAUAUUUUGGAUGUAAUCCGAGAACUUCCUGGUCCUCUAUAGACUGUAUAAUCAUCAGUUUAAUCAGUUUAUUGUCAACUAAAAAAAAAAUUAGUCUGGGAGAGCCCAAUGUAUGCAAUCACUUUCAGUGCUGUUGAAUUAUAUUUGUCCAUAAUUUUGUGCUUGUACAGUUUGGAACAUUUGCAGUUUUAUCCAUAUUUUGUUUAAGUUUACUUUGUUCUCAGUUAAUUUAUUAUUGUCUGUCACAGCUUUAAUUCAGAAGGGUCCCUCAGAAGGGGUACCUACACAGACUGCAACUACAAGAAAGAGCAGUACUUCUGAAUCUUCAAAUUUUUCAACUUCCGAGUCCUCUGAUUCUGAGCCCCCAAAACACAAAAAAAGAAAGGUUAAGGAGAAACACAGAGCGAAAAGACAUAAGAAAUCAAAGAAAUUGACUUCUGACUAUUCCAAAAGAGUGCAUACCCCAGAAGAAUCGCUGAAGAGGUACUACAAGGUAUUAAACCUUGUAAAACAGGGCCUGAGUAAGGCAGAGGCCUACAACAGACUAAACGUUGACAGGAACACAAUAGUCAUCCAGGCUCCAAUUGCAGAGUUAGCAGCAGCUAAUCCAGAAUCAUUCCGCAAGCUAAGGCAGAUGUUUAAAAAGGGAGAUAGCAUCCUGAAAUUUGCCGAAAGCUGUCUUUGUCUUUGUAAAGAAAAGGCCAAUGAGGAUGUGAUUAAACAAAUGAAAGAGGCAAAUGACCUGCUUGACAUAAAUAAAAAAUGAACGAUAAGCACACAUUAUAGUUGUUAGGGGGUUGUUCUUGUGUUAGGAAUUUGUUUAAAUCAUUUAAUCCUGACAAUGUUAUAAUGUUCAUAUAUAAAUUUUUAUUAUAAAACGUGUGUUUGCACAUUUUUAUGCAUAUGUUACAUGGGUUCACUGCAAAUUGAACAACAGUGUUUAUGUAGGCAUUUGUUUUAGGUUAAUAGUAAAUUUUAUAAGGGCAUUGAUAUUUGGAAAUGUUUAUUUUCAGGUUUUAUUUUAAUUUAUUUGAUUUUUAUUUGUUGUGCUUUACUCUUGUGCUACUUUUACAGUGCUUGUUUUUUCUUUAAUAAAUCUAGUACUUAUAUAAUGGUUGAUUUGUAC
ensembl:lncRNA